AUGACUCUACAGGAACUGGUGCAUCAGACUGCCUCUCUUUAUUUGGACAAAGUAGCAGUGCGUUUUGAUGAAUGUUAAUAACCAGCCUCCACUUUAUUGUACCUACAAGACUGUGGUUACUGUUGCUUUGGGAUUAUCAAAUUUUCUUCUUUCACACUGACUUCCAAGGAAUUUGAGAAUUGGACUGUACUGCCAGCCUGGGAUUAAUUUACCUUCUUGGAUUUUAGGAAUUCUCCAAGUCCCUGCUGCUUAUGCUCCUAUUGAUCCAGAUUUACCAUCAUCACUCAACUUAUUUUCUGAAAAAAAAUGUAACCUAAAGUAUAUCCUUGUUGGAAAAAAACAAAGUAAUAGAUUCAGGUCUUCCUAUGAAACAUUAUUGAUCUAUAAUACAUUUACAGUUGAACAUAAUGACCUAUUACUCUUCACACUUCAGUGGAAAAAUGGUGAGGUGAACUUGAUGCUGAGUGAUAGAAAAGAGCACUAUGAAAAAUAAAUGAUAAAAGACAGCAUAAGUUCUGAGAACUGCAAUGAAGAAAAAGCAGAAGAACACAUGGACAUGAGGCUAAAGCAUUGCUUAGCCUAUGUUCUCCAUAUCUCAGGGACUACAGGAGUACCAAAGGUCAUCAGAGUGCCUCAUGAGUAUACUAGUACCAAAUAUCCAGCAUUUCCAGAUACUUUUUAACAUCACACAAGAAGAUAUUUUAUUUCUGGCUUCACCUCUGGCCUUCGAUCCUUCUGUUGUGGAAAUAUUUGUUACUUUAUGGAGGUGCCACUCUGCUUACUGUUGUCAAGGCGCUCCCAUCAAAAUUAGCUUCUGUUCUCUUUUCCCAUCACAAAGUGACUAUGUUGUAGGCAACACCAUCAUUGCUUAGAAGAUUUGGAGCUGAAUUUAUCAAAUCAAGUAUUUUAUCAGCCAGUACUUUCCUUCGAGUAUUAGCUCUUGGUGGCAAAGCAUUUCUAUCAUUGACUGUUCUCAAAAGCUGGACAGGAGAAGGCAAUAAAACACACAUAUUUAAUGUUUAUGGAAUCACAGAAGUAUAAAGUUGAGCAACCUUUUAUAGGAUUCCAGAGAAGAUUCUUAACUCUACUUUGAAAUGUGAAAUUCCUGUACAAGUGGGAUUUCCACUGCUUGGAACAGUAAUUGAAGUCAGAGAUACUAACAGUUGCACAAUUCAAGAAGGCAAUGGCCAUGUAUUUUUAGGUGGUAGUAGCAGAGUAUGUUUUCUAGAUGAUGAAUUGACUGUACCACUUGGCACAAUGUGAGCUACAGUAGACUUUGUUACUGUGAAAAAUGGAGAGAUAUUUUUCUUAGGAUGAAAAGACAGUCAGAUCAAACGUCAUGGCAAAUGUCUUAACAUUGAAUUUGUGCAACAGGUUGCUGAAGAACUUCAGCAAGUGGAAUCUUGUGCCGUUACAUGGUAUAAACAGGAAAAAUUGAUUCUCUUCAUUGUGUCCAAAGGUAAUUUAGUAAAGGAUUACAUCUUUAAUGAACUGCAGAAACAUCUUCCAAGUCAUGCAAUCCCAGAUGAACUUGUAUUGAUUGAUGCACUGCCAUUUACAUCUCAUGGCAAGAUUGAUGUUUCUGAGUUAAACAAGUUAUAUUUGAACUGCAUAAACUUGAAGUCUAAGUAUAAGCUCAAUGGAAAAGAGGAACUUUGGGAAAAUGACAGUAUUUGUGGAAGUCUAUUCUGCAUCUCUCAGAAGAUCCUUUGAAGAUUCCUGAUGAGUCACUCUUCUUAAAUAGUGGUGGUGAUUCCUUAAAGUCCAUAGAACUCCUCAAUGAGAUUGAAAAACUUAUUGAUGUAUUCAUACCCAGGCUUCUGGAAAUGAUUCUCAGCAGUUCCCUUUUAGAGAUUUAUAGUCACAUCUUUCAAAUGGUGUUUGCCAAUGAAGAUCUGACACUCGGCAAGAGUUGUGCCACAAAAAGGAAACUCAGUGACAUUAAUCAAGAGGAAGCUGGUGGCAAAUAUCUGCAUCAGAAAUCUUUCAUGCCUUUAAAUUGCGACAAUGAGAUUGAGGCUUUUGCACUCAACAGAGGGAGUCAGGUUUUGUCUGUGGAUCCUACUAUGUCUUUAACUAAGUUAGGAACAGUCUGUUCUUCUGAUUUAAUUUCACGAACAGUCAAAAUUGGAAAAGUUUAAAUCCUCUAGCUCUUAUCAGGAAGUCAAAAGACCUAUCCUUUGUUGCAGAAGUUUCUGAAAAGGGAAACCUUUGGCAGAGUCUGAGAAAACAGAGUUAUGCAUGAGGUGGAGGUCGGACACAGGCAAAUGUGUAGAUGCUUCACCACUAUUUAUAAUACCAGCUUUUGAUAAGUCCUCUGCAACUAUGUACCUUGGUUCCCAUUCUCACAAAUGAAGGCAGUUGACCUUUACUCAGGGAAAGUGAAAUGGGAACAGAUUUUGGGAGAUCAAAUUGAAUCUUCAGCAUGUGUAUCUAAGUGUGGAAACUCUAUUAUAGUGGGCUGUUAUGAUGGAUUAGCUUAUGUUCUAAAAAGUAAUACUGGAGAAAAAUACUGGACGUUUAUUACCGAAGAUGCUGUCAAAAGCUCGGCAACAGUGGAUCCAACCACAGGACUCCUGUACAUUGGCUGUCAUGACCAGCAUGCAUAUGCUUUAGAUAUUUAUAAAAAGAAGUGUGUUUAGAAGUUAAAAUGUGGAGGCACUGUCUUUUCUUCUCCUUGUUUGAGCCUGAACCCACAUCAUCUGUAUUGUGCUACACUGGGAGGAUUUUUACUGGCUGUAAAUCCUGCUACUGGGAACAUAAUUUGGAAACAUUGCUGUGGAAUGCCGCUCUUCUCUUCUCUGCAGUGUUGCUUACAAUAUAUUUGCAUUGGCUGUGUUGAUGGGAAUUUACUCUGCUUUACUCACUUGGGAGAACAAGUUUGGCAAUUCUCUACCAGUGAACUGAUCUUUUCAUCCCCAUGUAUCUCAGCAUCAGAGCAAGAUAUAUUCUUUGGUUCCCACGAUUGCUUUAUCUACUGUUGUAACAAGAAAGAUCACCUCCAAUGGAAAUUAGAAACUACUUCAUGGGUAUAUGAAACACCGUUUGCUUUCCAUAACCAAGAUCACAGCAAUGAAAUAUUGCUGGCAGCAGCAUCUACAGAUGGGAAAUUCUGGAUCUUGGAUACUCAGAGUGGACAACUGCAAAGUGUAUAUGAACUUCCUGGAGAGGUCAUCUCUUCUCCUGUGGUCUGGGAAUCAAUGCUUAUUAUUGGAUGUAGAAAUCAUUAUAUUUAUUGUCUGUAUUUAUUGGGUGGAAAUAAAAAA